rnacentral:rRNA from 1 species
GGGCCUCGGGUUGUAAACUGCUUUUUGUACGGAACGAAAAGGCCCUGGUGAACAACCGGGGUUGCUUGACGGUACCGUAAGAAUAAGCACCGGCUAACUACGUGCCAGCAGCCGCGGUAAUACGUAGGGUGCGAGCGUUAAUCGGAAUUACUGGGCGUAAAGCGUGCGCAGGCGGACAUGCAAGACAGAUGUGAAAUCCCCGGGCUCAACCUGGGAACUGCAUAUGUGACUGUAUGACUGGAGUACGGGCAGAGGGGGAUGGAAUUCCGCGUGUAGCAGUGAAAUGCGUAGAUAUGCGGAGGAACACCGAUGGCGAAGGCAAUCCCCUGGGCCAGUACUGACGCUCAUGCACGAAAGCGUGGGGAGCAAACAGGGAUUAGAUACCCUGGUAGNCC